AAAUAUUUGCUUGUGACAUUCUUGUCAUGGUAAUUCAGUGAACCAGUUCCUGGUUUACUCACAUCCAUCCAGUAUUUAAGACACAGUACCACAGAUACCAGAGGAAAUACAACCUGUGACAUUACAAUAACUGGACAAGAACAUCUGUGCAAGGAUGAAGACAUUACACGCAAUGCUACUCAUGCUGUUUGUCGCAUCAGUCUUUUCAAAACCAUUUCAUUCACGCAGAAGAUUUGGUUCGUCACACUCUGAGCGGUCUAGAUUCAGUUCAGAGGAAAGUGAUUCACGCAGAGAAGACAGGGAGGAUUCUGAAUCCAACGAGUCUAAAUCAAGUGAAUCUGAAUCUUCGGAGGAAGAUAUCAGAGUUGUCUCGAGCGCAUUCCCUCCAGCUAGCACAAGAAGUCCAUCGACAGCAGCAUCGACUAUCACGACACCAGACUUCACAAACUGCGUUGCUGGAACAAGGGGUGAUGGUGUUGUGAUAUCUUGCACUUAAUCAUCAGUUAAAUGUUAAAAGGCGUACAGUUCAAGUCAUUUUUAUGUGCUGAUAACGAAGGUCUCGAAACUGAAUGAUUUGAACUUUUAAAAUGAUUUACUUUUAAACUGCAUGUCACUAUAUUAAUAAGUGCUUAUUUAGAAUAAAUACAUGAUAAUAAUAAUAAUAAAAACAUGUUUAAAUACA